UCAAAAACAGGAAGUAAACCACGCGUCAUUCACGGUGAAAGAGCAGGUAGGUGUUUUACGGAAGUGGAAAGCUGGUUUCUUUUUCGCGAUGGGACGUGACUGCCUGACCGUCCUUUGUGUGUCCGUCUCUGCGGCGCCGCUCCUCUCACUGGAUCCUGAUGGUUCAUAUUGAACGUAACACGGAUGUGAAGCUUUCCUCAGAGAAGACCUUUGGAUUAACUGCGGCGAACAAACUUCAGAAGACUAAUGUCAGCCCUCUCAUAAGAAAGGAGAGGAAACUUUUGGUUGCGUCUUCACACUGACGUCUCUGUCCACGGUGAUCUCGGCACAGGUACAUCGAUGCCUUCAGAUCCGGAGACCGACGAGCCUUUGUGGCCAUUUUUGUUCCGCGUUGCCUUGCCGACGGUGUUCGUCGUCAUAAUGUUAACCAUAUGUGUCGCAUCAAGCUGCAGGUGUGAAGGAAAAUGCCGGGACGCACCGAGCCACCAGCCCCCCGACGGAGCUUUGCAGACAAUAUAUGAAGUAUGAACUAUGCAGAUGAUCUGUAGUGCCCUGAAUGCCAUCCUCUAAGGUUUAAUGAUUCAUAUCCAAACAUUUCAUUCAUUUCAAUAUUUAAAGCCAUCGGGAUCUGAUUUAUUCAAGUACUUGAUCUGUAUUUCUCAAUUGUUUUUUUCACUAUUUAUUUUAAUAUAGCGGGCUUGAGGCAUUUUUUUUACAUUUACAAAAUACGUUUUUUUUUUUAAAUAACAUAUGUGUUUAUGUGGAAUGUCAUUACUUUUAUGCAUUUGCUCAUUUAUUUAAGUGGCCAAAAGUGAUAUUUUAUUUAGUAGUGAAGAUUCAUCCGCUGGGGACCAUGAUCACAUGUACGUGGUGAGGUUGAAAUCCAUCCAGAACACGUUGAGAUACUUCAGUCUCCCUUUGGUGUUGAAAUAAAUUGAAAUAAUUCUCGAUCUUUCGUAUUUACUGAGGAAUGUGAUGGGAUCAGUUCACUAGUGGACACUAGCUACAAAAGAUUAUGGAACAUUAGCGCUCUGCUAGCAAGGUACAACACGUUUACCCUUAAACAAGCGUUUUUCACAUUUCCUGCAACACAGUAACUAUUCUCGUAUAUUAUAUUCUGUUGAGUAUGCAAAUUAAAGAACUUGAAAUGCAUCCAAGGCAAUGCAGGUGAUAUUAAUCAAUUAUCCGUUUACUGUUUCUGCAGAUUGGCCUGAAUUAUGUCCUUAAUGCUGCAGGGAGAGUUGCAUCCCCUGGUCAUGUCUCCCACA